GCGUCGGUGGUGCAAAGGUUAGCAUCCGCUCCUGAAAAGAAUGAGAUCUAGGUUCGGAUCCCGGGUGGCGCA